rnacentral:rRNA from 1 species
UGAGGGGGGCUGCUCCUAGUACGAGAGGACCGGAGUGGACGCAUCACUGGUGUUCGGGUUGUCAUGCCAAUGGCACUGCCCGGUAGCUAAAUGCGGAAGAGAUAAGUGCUGAAAGCAUCUAAGCACGAAACUUGCCCCGAGAUAAGUUCUCCCUGACUCCUUGAGAGUCCUGAAGGAACGUUGAAGACGACGACGUUGAUAGGCCGGGUGUGUAAGCGCAGCGAUGCGUUGAGCUAACCGGUACUAAUGAACCGUGAGGCUUAACCUUACAACGCCGAAG